CUAGUUUAACAAAACUAACAGCUCUUUCAAGAUUAUGUGGUAGGUGGUGCAUGGCCGUUCUUAGUUCGUGAAGUGAUUCGUUCGCCCAAUCGCAUUUCCAAACAACUAACAACUCAGAAUGCUGGGCAAUAGGACGUUUAAAGUGGCUCCUUACACCUUACAAAGGAAUGGCUGAUGAGAAACAACUCGAUCCGCUCAGCGUUCUAUUGGAAUGCAACGGACGUGAUUGCAAGCUUUUGUUUUGAGUUGCGGUUUUACUGAAAGACUCUACAAUCCGCAAACUUCAAUGAUCUGAAGUAGAAAACCUACAUGCUACAGUGAGAUAUUGUGGAUAAACUUAAGCGACCGCUCCAACAUUGUGUUUUUUUAAAACUGAUGA
rnacentral:rRNA from 1 species